GCGCACCGACACCUACAUAUCAAUAUACCAGCCGACUAAACGUGGUCCACUCUGCAUGCAUGAUAUAAACUAUGAGAAACAUCUACUUAUCAACAUUCUGCAGAUAUGUGUGCAACUGGUGUCUCCUGCCACACACAGCACUGACUGGUAAUGUAUGUAUGUCUGGAAAUCCAGUCUGUCAUGUAUAAAUAACACUAUCCUCGUUAUGUUGUAGCACCAGUUAAAGCCUUGCAGAGCAAGAAGUACUUUAUAACUUUACUACCGUAAAGCAGAGCAAAGUCGUACUAAAACAUCUGUGUUUUAAGUCAAACAAUUUUUUUUCCAAGGUGUCAAAUAUUGUGUCAAAGUAUUUUCAAAAAUAUCGAACUAAGAAUUUGACUUGUAUCUUGCCAGACUAAUCCUCGUGGUGGUAUCGAUUUGUCAUUCCAUCUUCUCUGAGUGGUCAGAAUUUUGUCAACUUUCUGGUUCGAAAGGAGAAAUUUUUUUUACCGGUUUGCUAACUAAUUUUAUCUGUCUUAAAAAUAUUCUGCAAUACGAGGAUUAUCCGAUUGUUCUAGGUAAGUUAAAUUAUCAAUAUUAAAUACAGUGGGGGUAUUCAAGGCCAACUUUCGCAUGAUUUUGGUUAUUGGUCAUUAAAUCAAUGUAUGGGAUUGAAUUAACCUCUUUAGGGCUAUGAGUGACUUUUGUUGCGUUUUGAAAAAUCCCUGAGAGACGAAGUGCUACUAUAGUCGCAAUUUCGAAAUGACCCAUGGAGACGAAAGACUACUUUUGUCUCCAAAUCAAAACAUCCCCGUGAGACGAUGGAUAACUAUAGUUGAUUCCAUAAAAAUAUUUGUGAGACGAUGGACGACUUUUGUCCUCACAGUGAAUUGUCUAGCCCGAGCCAGGGCUUAUGGAACCAACAUCUGUCUGUCUAUCGAUAAGUCUUAGACUUAUCCGAUUGGGUUGAAAUUUUGCAAAUGUGUAGGAUAUCUAAAACUAAGAAUUAAUUUCGAAGAUUAGCCAAAGGGGUAAUUUUGCUCAUUGGGGGGGGGGGACAAAAAAUUUCUAAAUUUGAAAUUGUUGUUGGAGGUGUUGAAACUUGAAAUUUUAUAAAACAUAUAUUUUCAUAUACUUCAUUUCCACACUGGUUUGUGGAAAUGGGCGAUUAAUUAAAUAUGAUACGUGGUAGCUUCUCAAUUAAUAAAAUGAACUCGAUUUCACAAAUUUUCCUAAA